rnacentral:rRNA from 1 species
AGGGUGACAGGUGGUGCAUGGUUGUCGUCAGCUCGUGUCGUGAGAUGUUGGGUUAAGUCCCGCAACGAGCGCAACCCUCGACCUUAGUUGCCAGCAUUCAGUUGGGCACUCUAAGGUGACUGCCGGCUAAAAGUCGGAGGAAGGUGGGGAUGACGUCAAAUCAUCAUCGCCCCUUAUGACCUGGGCUACACACGUGCUACAAUGGGCGGUAACAAAGGGUCGCCGAACCCGCGAGGGGGAGCCAAUCCCAAAAAGCCGCUCUCAGUUCGAAUUGCAGGCUGCAACUCGCCUGCAUGAAGCCGGAAUCGCUAGUAAUCGCGGAUCAGCAUGCCGCGGUGAAUACGUUCCCGGGCCUU